GCAAGUCGAGGGGCAGCAUGACACUUCGGUGUUGAUGGCGACUGGCGAACGGGUGCGUAACGCGUAUGUAAUCUACCUUGUACAGGAGGAUAGCUUUCGGAAACGGAAAUUAAUACUCCAUGUUAUCUUUUGAUCCCAAGAUCAGCAGAUCAAAGCUCCGGCGGUACAAGAUGAGCAUGCGUCCUAUUAGCUAGUUGGUAGGGUAAAGGCUUACCAAGGCAACGAUAGGUAGGUGGUCUGAGAGGAAGAUC
rnacentral:rRNA from 1 species